AUAUUGUACAGGGAAACAAGAAGCUCAUACUAGGUUGCUACUGGUUUAUUGUCUAUGCAUGUGAUGGAGAAACUAAAAAAUGGUGAUACAGGGAGUUUGUCUUGUCUCUUUAAUUGAGAGGAUUCACAUCUUGUUGAAAAAUCACUUUACUAGCGAGAGCUGAAGAACAUGGGCAGAUGAUCGAAUCACUUCACACCUCUGCCAAAAAAUUCUUGGAGAGAUGCAAAAUAUGGUCAAAGAAUUCAAGAACUUAGAUUUUCAUACCUCUCCAUCUCCUUCCUCCGCGUCUAUUCCUGCAAGUAAUACCCAUGUCCAACAACACAAGUAGUAAUCCUUUCUUUGGGGUUCUCUAAUCCCAACUUUUUGUUGAAAAUGCAUACACUGUAAACAUGAGGUUUGUUUUUCAUAUUUCACAUAAGUUUUAGUUGAAAUGCAUCCAUCAUUUUCAACUUUGUUGUAAUGACUAGGACUGAGGGGUUUGUUUUACUUUAUACAUGGAUGCAAAUUGUCAUAAAUAAGAAGGCAUUGAGGGGCUUCAAUGGUACAACCCAAAAGUCUUACAAGGUUCUUGUGUUGUCUUACAAGGUUCUUGUGUUGAAUUCCACCAAUCAAAUUUACCUCAUUGAAGAAGUCAUCAGUCCAUUGUCGUGAAUCAAAUGUACCUCAAUGCUACAUUAUAUUUUGGAGCUAUUAUAUAUAUUCUGCCAUUAGUGAUAGUGAUAUAUGGUAUUCUUGCGAUCUUUUGUCAUCUUUUGUUAUCCGUGUUGCUUUAUCAUCAAGGAUCACCUCAACUCUUUGAAGUUUCGAAUUGUUAUAUGCGUUUCUACUAAAUUGGUUUAUAAAAUAAAAUUAUUCAUAUAUAAGUUUAGAUGUAAUUGAUAAUAUAUUAAUG